AGUGGCGGACGGGUGAGUAACGCGUGGGUAACCUGCCUCAUACAGGGGGAUAACAGUUAGAAAUGACUGCUAAUACCGCAUAAGACCACAGCACCGCAUGGUGCAGGGGUAAAAACUCCGGUGGUAUGAGAUGGACCCGCGUCUGAUUAGGUAGUUGGUGGGGUAACGGCCUACCGAGCCGACGAUCAGUAGCCGACCUGAGAGGGUGACCGGCCACAUUGGGACUGAGACACGGCCCAA
rnacentral:rRNA from 1 species